CUUUUAACGGCCGCGGUAUUCUAACCGUGCAAAGGUAGCGUAAUCACUUGUCUCCUAAAUAGAGACUAGUAUGAACGGCUAAAUGAGAAAAAAUCUGUCUCCUACAACCCAUCAGUGAAACUGAUCUUUCAGUCCAAAAGCUGAAAUAUUCACAUAAGACGAGAAGACCCUGUGGAGCUUAAGGUACUAUACCAAUAGCAAUAUAAUCAACCUGGUUGCCUACCUUAAGUUGGGGCGACUUCGGAAAAAAACAAAACUUCCGAGCACAGAACCACUACCUCUUUCUAAGACCAACAAGUCAAAGAACCUGCUUGACCCAGUCACACUGAUCAACGAACCAAGUUACCCCAGGGAUAACAGCGCUAUCUUCUUCAAGAGUCCCUAUCGACAAGAAGGUUUACGACCUCGAUGUUGGAUCAGGACACCCUAAUGGUGCAGCCGCUAUUAAAGGUUCGUUUGUUCAACGAUUAAUAGUCCUACG
rnacentral:rRNA from 1 species